rnacentral:rRNA from 1 species
UACGUAGGUGACAAGCGUUGUCCGGAUUUACUGGGCGUAAAGAGCGCGCAGGCGGUCGAUCAAGUCGAGUGUGAAAGCCCCCGGCUCAACUGGGGAGGGUCAUUCGAUACUGAUCGACUCGAAGGCAGGAGAGGGUAGUGGAAUUCCCGGUGUAGUGGUGAAAUGCGUAGAUAUCGGGAGGAACACCAGUAGCGAAGGCGGCACUCUGGGCCGGUACUGACGCUGAGGAGCGAAAGCGUGGGGAGCGAACAGG